rnacentral:rRNA from 1 species
GUGGGGAAUUUUGGACAAUGGGCGCAAGCCUGAUCCAGCAAUGCCGCGUGCAGGAUGAAGGCCUUCGGGUUGUAAACUGCUUUUGUACGGAACGAAACGGCGAGCUCUAAUACAGUUUGCUAAUGACGGUACCGUAAGAAUAAGCACCGGCUAACUACGUGCCAGCAGCCGCGGUAAUACGUAGGGUGCGAGCGUUAAUCGGAAUUACUGGGCGUAAAGCGUGCGCAGGCGGUUUUGUAAGACAGGUGUGAAAUCCCCGGGCUUAACCUGGGAAUGGCGGUUGUGACUGCACAGCUGGAGUGCGGCAGAGGGGGAUGGAAUUCCGCGUGUAGCAGUGAAAUGCGUAGAUAUGCGGAGGAACACCAAUUGCGAAGGCAGGUGACUAAGCCAUAACUGACGCUGAGGCUCGAAAGCGUGGGGAGCAAACAGGAUUAGAUACCCGAGUAGUCC